rnacentral:rRNA from 1 species
CAGUCGAGCGGAGAUGAGGUGCUUGCACCUUAUCUUAGCGGCGGACGGGUGAGUAAUGCUUAGGAAUCUGCCUAUUAGUGGGGGACAACAUUCCGAAAGGAAUGCUAAUACCGCAUACGCCCUACGGGGGAAAGCAGGGGAUCUUCGGACCUUGCGCUAAUAGAUGAGCCUAAGUCGGAUUAGCUAGUUGGUGGGGUAAAGGCCUACCAAGGCGACGAUCUGUAGCGGGUCUGAGAGGAUGAUCCGCCACACUGGGACUGAGACACGGCCCAGACUCCUACGGGAGGCAGCAGUGGGGAAUAUUGGACAAUGGGCGGAAGCCUGAUCCAGCCAUGCCGCGUGUGUGAAGAAGGCCUUUUGGUUGUAAAGCACUUUAAGCGAGGAGGAGGCUACUUAGAUUAAUACUCUAGGAUAGUGGACGUUACUCGCAGAAUAAGCACCGGCUAACUCUGUGCCAGCAGCCGCGGUAAUACAGAGGGUGCGAGCGUUAAUCGGAUUUACUGGGCGUAAAGCGUGCGUAGGCGGCUGAUUAAGUCGGAUGUGAAAUCCCUGAGCUUAACUUAGGAAUUGCAUUCGAUACUGGUCAGCUAGAGUAUGGGAGAGGAUGGUAGAAUUCCAGGUGUAGCGGUGAAAUGCGUAGAGAUCUGGAGGAAUACCGAUGGCGAAGGCAGCCAUCUGGCCUAAUACUGACGCUGAGGUACGAAAGCAUGGGGAGCAAACAGGAUUAGAUACCCUGGUAGUCCAUGCCGU